CCAUUUUUAUAUAUUCUUUUCCUUUUUUUGUUGUUAUUCAAGAAUAAGAUUAAUUGUAUACAGCUCUCUCCGAAAACUUAUCGAAUUACAAAUAUAUCUCUAAAAAGUUUAAUUUUUUAUAUUUAUCACUAUAAAAGUUCGAAUAUUUUUAAAUAUACUCACUGCUAUUAGGAUCUGUUAGAAAAAUAUAAUUAACGAUAGAUAAAUUAUUUAACUUUGAUUUGAUUAGUGAAUAUAUAAGAUAAAUUGGCCUUUUUCAUCUCUUUUAUAUUAUAUAUGAUGGUUAAAAGAAAAAGAAAAUGACACAGUUGAAAUUUUUGGAGGAACAUAUUUGUGAUAACAAAAAUAUUAUUUUAUUUAUCUUUACACUAAUGGUAAUAGGAAUAAAUAUAAAAAAUUGAAGUUUGUAGGUAUAUA
rnacentral:lncRNA from 1 species